rnacentral:rRNA from 1 species
CUUAUAAGUAAUCUGCUCAUGAAAAUUUUUAAUAGCCGCUUUUGUGCUAAGGUAGCAUAAUAAUUUGUCUUUUAAUUUAAGACUAGAAUAAAAGAUUUUCCAUCUUAAUUUAUAUCAAAAAUAUAUUAAUUUUAAAUUAUCCUAAAUGUAAAAAGACAUUUAUAAAAAAGAAAGACGACAAGACCCUAUAGAACUUAACUAUAGUUAAACUGGGGCAGUUAAUUAAUUAAAAUUUUAAUUUAAUAAUAAAAUUUAUCUUAACCUAAUAUUAUUAACAAUAUGACUAAGUUACCUUAGGGAUAACAGCGUAAUAUAAUUUUUAAGAUCUUAUUUAAAAUUAAGUUUACGACCUCGAUGUUGAUUUAAUUUUCCUAAAAUAACGCAAUAGUUAUAAAAGGAAGUCUGUUCGACUUUUAAAAAAUUACAUGAUCUGAGUCAAAACCCGGAGA